rnacentral:lncRNA from 1 species
GGAGACCUUUGUUAUCUACAAUAACUGAUAUUGUGUUUUACAGAGAUGUGACUGUUUUCCUCAACUGACUGUAAGAGGAGUGAGGACCUGGCAGCUGGAAGGGGAGAUGGCCUGAAUUUCUUAUCAAUCUCUUGAUCUUAUACUCCUUGAGAGGACUGUCUGGUGUCAAAGAGAACCAGAGGCAGCACCCUGCUUGAGUAAAAUUACUUGUUUUUGUGUGCCAUGUCUCUCAUUUUUAAAGAGAGCUUUGUACAACCUUGUGACAGUUUCAACUAUGACUUUGAAAAAAACCUGGG